rnacentral:tRNA from 1 species
GUAAAUAUAGUUUAAUUAAAACGUUAGAUUGUGAUUCCAAAAAUAAGGGUUAAACCCCCUUUAUUCACC